rnacentral:rRNA from 1 species
GCUAGUAAUGGCAGGUCAGCAUACUGCCGUGAAUACGUUCCCGGGCCUUGUACACACCGCCCGUCACACCAUGAGAGUUGGGAAUACCCGAAGCCUGUGAGCUAACAUUUAUGAGGCAGCAGUCGAAGGUAGAAUCAAUGAUUGGGGUGAAGUCGUAACAAGGUACC